AACGCUGGCGGCGCGCCUAACACAUGCAAGUCGAACGAGAGGCUCUUCGGAGUAGUAAAGUGGCGUACGGGUGAGUAAUACAUGGGUAAUCUGCCUUUGAGCGGGGGAUAACCAGCCGAAAGGCUGGCUAAUACCCCAUACGCUUCCGGUCCUUCGGGUAAGGAAGGAAAGCUGCAUCGUGGAUGUGGCACUCGAAGAUGGGCUCAUGGCCUAUCAGCUUGUUGGUGGGGUAACGGCCUACCAAGGCAACGACGGGUAGCUGGUCUGAGAGGACGAUCAGCCACACUGGCACUGAGAUACGGGCCAGACUCCUACGGGAGGCAGCAGUGAGGAAUAUUGCGCAAUGGGCGAAAGCCUGACGCAGCGACGCCGCGUGGGGGAAGAAGGUUUUCGGAUUGUAAACCCCUUUUAGGAGGAAAGAUGGGGUGGGUUUCCACCCGGACGGUACCUCCAGAAAAAGCCACGGCUAACUUCGUGCCAGCAGCCGCGGUAAU
rnacentral:rRNA from 1 species